rnacentral:piRNA from 1 species
UGCGCAGGUUAAGAGACCCUAGUUUAUGGAU